UCUAAUAUGGCAGAAUAGUGCAAUGAAUUUAAGAUUCAUACAUAAAGUUAGCUUUUUUUAGAA
rnacentral:tRNA from 1 species